rnacentral:rRNA from 1 species
GAUGAACGCUGGCGGCGUGCCUAAUACAUGCAAGUCGAGCGAACAGACGAGGAGCUUGCUCCUCUGACGUUAGCGGCGGACGGGUGAGUAACACGUGGAUAACCUACCUAUAAGACUGGGAUCACUUCGGGACACCGGAGCUAAUACCGGAUAAUAUAUUGAACCGCAUGGUUCAAUAGUGAAAGACGGUUUUGCUGUCACUUAUAGAUGGAUCCGCGCCGCAUUGGCUAGUUGGUAAGGUAACGGCUUACCAAGGCAACCAUGCGUAGCCGACCUGAGAGGGGGAUCGGCCACACUGGAACUGAGACACGGUCCAGACGCCUACGGGAGGCAGCAGUAGGGAAUCUUCCGCAAUGGGCGAAAGCCUGACGGAGCAACGCCGCGUGAGUGAUGAAGGUCUUCGGAUCGUAAAACUCUGUUAUUAGGGAAGAACAAAUGUGUAAGUAACUAUGCACGUCUUGACGGUACCUAAUCAGAAAGCCACGGCUAACUACGUG